CUGCAGAAUUCGGCUUGCCUAAAGGGGCCGUAGCCGGUCUUGUAAAUCCUUGGGUAAAUCGACCAGCUCAACUGUUCGAAGUCCGGGGAGACUGCAAGACUUGGGAUCGGGAGAGGUGAGAGGUACUUCUGGGGUAGGGGUAAAAUCCUGUAAUCCUAGAAGGACCACCGGUGGCGAAGGCGUCUCACUAGAACGAAUCCGACGGUGAGGGACGAAGCCCUGGGGCGCAAACGGGAUUAGAUACCCCGGUAGUCCAGGGUGUAAACGCUGCGGGCUUGGUGUUGGGGGUCCUUUGAGGGCGCCCAGUGCCGGAGAGAAGUUGUUAAGCCUGCUGCUUGGGGAGUACGUCCGCAAGGAUGAAACUUAAAGGAAUUGGCGGGGGAGCACCGCAACGGGAGGAGCGUGCGGUUCAAUUGGAUUCAACGCCGGACAACUCACCAGGAGCGACGGUUACAUGAAGGCCAGGCUGAUGACCUUGCCUGAUUUUCCGAGAGGUGGUGCAUGGCCGUCGUCAGUUCGUACCGUAAGGCGUUCUCUUAAGUGAGAUAACGAACGAGACCCUCGCCGCUAAUUGCUAGUGUUCUCUCCGGAGGGCACGCACAUUAACGGGACCGCUGUCGCUAAGACAGAGGAAGGAGAGGACAACGGUAGGUCCGCAUGCCCCUAAAA
rnacentral:rRNA from 1 species